UACGAAUGGGGCAAGCGUUGUUCGGAAUCACUGGGCGUAAAGCGUGUGUAGGCGGUUUAUCAAGUCAGAAGUGAAAUCCCAGGGCUUAACCCUGGAAUUGCUUUUGAAACUGAUAGGCUAGAGUACUGGAGAGGUUAGCAGAAUUCCGAGUGUAGAGGUGAAAUUCGCAGAUAUUCGGAGGAAUACCAGUGGCGUAAGCGGCUAACUGGACAGUAACUGACGCUGAGACACGAAAGCGUGGGGAUCAAACAGG
rnacentral:rRNA from 1 species